UCCGCCGAUGCACCUCACUCCGCCACUGGCGCCGCCCUUGCGGAAUCCCUUUUUGCCACUCCGAAUGGCAAGAACCCGUUGUCUGUCGUUAGUGCUGACGCGGCCCGGGACGUUCUGGCGAAGAUCGGCCAGCCUGACCUUGCCUUCACUGAGGCCGGAAAUCGCCUCGCCUCUCAGCCGCCGACGGGCAUGGUCGCCCUCUGCACCAACUACGCCGAGGCCGGCCUGACUCUUCCGCUCCCUCCUUUGGUGGCCGAAGCCAUGCACUUCUGCGACAUUUCGCUCUCCCAAUUCCUCCGGCCGCCAUCGAUCGUCUGGUGACCUUUUCUCUACUCUGCCGCCGGUCCGGCAUUGAGGCUUUCUUGCCAAUUUUCCUCAUCUGGUUCUCCAUGACGUCGAUGACGACUGAUCGGGCGGUGCCCUUUUCGAUCAACUGGUCGACCGAUCUCACCACUGGCGCGACUGGUUCUUCUUCGUCUCCGUGGACGCCCUCGAUCCCUUUGAACUGGAGAUGCCACCGCCCUCUCGUUAGGCUCUUUUGACGCAGC
rnacentral:lncRNA from 1 species